rnacentral:rRNA from 1 species
GAUGAACGCUGGCGGCGUGCCUAAUACAUGCAAGUCGAGCGAACGGACGAGAAGCUUGCUUCUCUGAUGUUAGCGGCGGACGGGUGAGUAACACGUGGAUAACCUACCUAUAAGACUGGGAUAACUUCGGGAAACCGGUGCUAAUACCGGAUAAUAUUUUGAACCGCUUGGUUCAGAAGUGCUUGACGGUCUUGCUGUCACUUAUAGAUGGAUCCGCGCUGCAUUAGCUAGUUGGUAAGGUAACGGCUUACCAAGGCAACGAUGCAUAGCCGACCUGAGAGGGUGAUCGGCCACACUGGAACUGAGACACGGUCCAGACUCCUACGGGAGGCAGCAGUAGGGAAUCUUCCACAAUGGGCGAAAGCCUGACGGAGCAACGCCGCGUGAGUGAUGAAGGUCUUCGGAUCGUAAAACUCUGUUAUUAGGGAAGAACAUAUGUGUAAGUAACUGUGCACGUCUUGACGGUACCUAAUCAGAAAGCCACGGCUAACUACGUG